rnacentral:rRNA from 1 species
UGGGGAAUUUUGCACAAUGGGCGCAAGCCUGAUGCAGCGACGCCGCGUGAGGGAUGAAGGCCUUCGGGUUGUAAACCUUUUUCGCUCAUGGUCAAGCCGCAGCUUUGGGUUGUGGUGAGGGUAAUGGGUAAAGAAGCGCCGGCUAACUACGUGCCAGCAGCCGCGGUAAUACGUAGGGCGCGAGCGUUGUCCGGAAUUAUUGGGCGUAAAGGGCUUGUAGGCGGUUGGCCGCGUCUGCCGUGAAAUCCUCUGGCUUAACUGGGGGCGUGCGGUGGGUACGGGUUGACUUGAGUGCGGUAGGGGAGACUGGAAUUCCUGGUGUAGCGGUGGGAUGCGCAGAUAUCAGGAGGAACACCGGUGGCGAAGGCGGGUCUCUGGGCCGUUACUGACGCUGAGGAGCGAAAGCGUGGGGAGCGAACAGG